GAUGAACGCUGGCGGCGUGCCUAAUACAUGCAAGUCGAGCGAAUGGAUUAAGAGCUUGCUCUUAUGAAGUUAGCGGCGGACGGGUGAGUAACACGUGGGUAACCUGCCCAUAAGACUGGGAUAACUCCGGGAAACCGGGGCUAAUACCGGAUAACAUUUUGAACCGCACGGUUCGAAAUUGAAAGGCGGCUUCGGCUGUCACUUAUGGAUGGACCCGCGUCGCAUUAGCUAGUUGGUGAGGUAACGGCUCACCAAGGCAACGAUGCGUAGCCGACAUGAGAGGGGGAUCGGCCACACUGGGACUGAGACACGGCCCAGACUCCUACGGGAGGCAGCAGUAGGGAAUCUUCCGCAAUGGACGAAAGUUUGACGGAGUAACGCCGCGUGAGUGAUGAAGGCUUUCGGGUCGUAAAGCUCUGUUGUUAGGGAAGAACAAGUGCUAGUUGAAUAAGCUGGCACCUUGACGGUACCUAACCAGAAAGCCACGGCUAACUACGUGCCAGCCGCCGCAGUAA
rnacentral:rRNA from 1 species